UCCGCCCCAGGGGGCGUGGCCUAGGCGGGGUGCGCGGGACCCGCUGUGCGGGCGCGGAGGAGCGCGGAGCUCCGUCCCGGGGGCAGCGGCGGGGGAGGCGCAGCUCCGCUCCGGGCUCGGGCAGGGGCUCGAGAUGCGCCCGGGGAGGCAGCGCGGAGCCGCCCGCCCGCCCGCCCACACGGCGCUGCACGUGCCCCGAGCCGGCAUGCGGGAGCCCCGGGGCCGCCUGCUCCUUCCCUCCCCACCCCGGCCCCAGAACAGCCGGGACCCGCCUUCUCCGCGCCUCCUGGAUGCUUAGUGCUACCUUUUACACGUGGCUACUCACUAAUUACCAAGGGGAUGAGGAGGAUGAAGCAGAUGAAGACGAAGCUGGUCCACCAGGAGAGUACAAAGAAGACGAAGAUGAAAAUGAUGGAGGUUCAGAUUUGGGGAGAGUGAAGAGGAGGAAGGAGCUGGCCUUUCAUACCUGAUGAUGGACAAGAUCCAGGUAGGACUUACCCUAUUCUACGAUAAGGCUAAGGAUUUUUUUGACACUGUAUAGCUAUAAACGUGUAAUAAGUUAAACUUGUAUAAGCAGAAUCAUGUAAAUCCACUAUCAUACAUGAGCAAUAGAGUACUUCAGAGAGAGACCUUUUACUAUCAAAGAAGUGCAUUACAGUAGGGGAACCACCGCUGUUUGGUAUUCUCCGUUAUCUUGCUCAAAAUGAAAUGCUUCACGAUUCAUUA